CUAGCAACGGUAUGUACUCGUCUCAGACAAUGGUUCAUCUGCUGUUCCAGUUUUGAUUCUUCCUUACUGAAUUAUUUGAAUACUAUCGUGACAUAGCUGGAGUGAUUUAUAAAAAUGAAUUAGAAAUAGCAUAUUGUUUCGUCUUUUGAUAAUGUUAUUAAUUUUGAAAAACAAUAUCAAAAGUGGCAACGAUAAAUAGUAAAUAUGUAUGGUAUUUAAGUAUACUUCCAGGUUUUCAGUCCGAAACUAAAAAGCAAUGUAAGUUGUUCGAGGGAAAAAAAAAAAAAAAAAUAUGAUAAAUGCGAUGGUUGUUCGUUAGAGCAGACUGCUAUCGACGACACCGGUAGGUCAAGUUUAACGAGAUAUUUAUGGAUGACGGAGUGAGAAGAUUGUUAUUCAAUAACGUUUUUACAUUUUCUUAGCGAUGUCUAGUUGCAUUGGCGAGCUAGAAGAUGCAAAACCACGGAAAAUGGAAUUGUCUCGUUCCCGAGGAACUUCUGCCAUGGCAUCCACUGAAACUUGUUGUGCAGACAAACCGCCAUAUAAAAACUCUCAACAUACACAAAAAGCAUUUGAGGUUAUGAAUAUCUUAAGAAA